rnacentral:rRNA from 1 species
GUGAACGCUGGCGGUAGGCCUAACACAUGCAAGUCGAACGGCAGCACAGUAAGAGCUUGCUCUUACGGGUGGCGAGUGGCGGACGAGUGAGGAAUACAUCGGAAUCUACUUUUUCGUGGGGGAUAACGUAGGGAAACUUACGCUAAUACCGCAUACGACCUACGGGUGAAAGCAGGGGAUCUUCGGACCUUGCGCGAUUGAAUGAGCCGAUGUCGGAUUAGCUAGUUGGCGGGGUAAAGGCCCACCAAGGCGACGAUCCGUAGCUGGUCUGAGAGGAUGAUCAGCCACACUGGAACUGAGACACGGUCCAGACUCCUACGGGAGGCAGCAGUGGGGAAUAUUGGACAAUGGGCGCAAGCCUGAUCCAGCCAUACCGCGUGGGUGAAGAAGGCCUUCGGGUUGUAAAGCCCUUUUGUUGGGAAAGAAAAGCAGCAGGUUAAUACCCCGCUGUUCUGACGGUACCCAAAGAAUAAGCACCGGCUAACUUC